AGUAAUAAGUCGCACGGAAUAGCUUUGGUGUUCCGUAGGCGCGAUAAAAUUCUUACCGUAUUAUUCCGUGUACAACGACCCCCUUUUAGUUCACAAAUUAUCAAAGUCCGAUUAAGUGGGUCGUUAUACACAGGUAGUAACUUUUCUAUUCGAUCAUAGAGUGGAGGUUAAAACACGUACAACAUUGUUACAACUGAUGAAAUGUAGAAAACAAUUUUUUAAAUUUUUUUCAUAAACAUAAAAAAUUUGUUUUUGGGGAUCGUUAUACACUGAAAAAUACGGUACUUUGCUAUGUUGACAAUGAUGGAAAAAUAGUAAACAGCGGUUGGCUGGUAUGUUGCAAUGUUUCGUUUCGUCAGAAAUAUGUGCAAUGUGAUGUUAAUAAUUUGAUUUGAAUUUUCAAUGACGGCAAAUUUCCUUCCAACUAAUGUGUUUAACCGAAUAUCAUGGCGUACUAUUGGUACUUACCAAAUGCUGCAUUAUAACUAGGCAUCGUGAUGAGGUUGGGUUUGUGAUGUGACGUGUUGUUGAUGUUGGAUAGUGAAUGUUUACUAACGGUAAGGGAUAAUUUCUACGUUAUGUGCAACGGAAAGAACAUCACUACUGCAAUCCAAGUUUCCACGUUCGAGCCCACGAUGAGCACUGGCGUGUUCUUUUUAAAAAGUUUGAUAAAAAGAUCUAAGGAUAUUUUAUUCACUGUGAGGUUUUGGAGCGCACAUUUUAAGAAGAAGCGACAUUAUCAGUGCAAAAAACAACGAAAUCAACGGUCGGCAAUACAACGAUUAGUACGAGAAUCUGUAUUUUGCCAAGACGUUGAAAUUUAAUUACAUCAUGUAAAGUGAGGAGCAACGUUAACGAAAUCAUUCGUGCGGUGUAUAUACUCGUGAAGUUUGUGAUUGUGAUCAAUAGCGUCCACGAAGACGAGUGAGAACUUUAUAAAUUGUG